CAAUCCUAACUUGCCAAAAUGGGCUAUUAGCUCAGGUGGUUAGAGCGCACCCCUGAUAAGGGUGAGGUCCCUG
rnacentral:tRNA from 2 species